CCGACGGCUUUGUGAGUGAAAGUGAAGAGACACUUCGAGGCAGGAGGUCCUGGAACCAAUCCCCUCUGAUACUGAGAGACAACUAUUACACAAGAGAAAUAUUCUACCAUUCACAAAAUCUCGUUUAAGUGUUGUGAAAUACAAACACCAGGGAAUCAAGAACUUUAGAAAAUUGUGGCUGUGUUCCCAUAUGUGGUACAAAGAACCAGUGAGUCCCAUUUGUUGUGGUUCCUGCAUUCGAUGACUCCAGAUGUGCCACCACCGAGCUAGUCUUAUGACAACCUAGAAGGCAAAUUGGGAGAUAUGAACAAAAACAUUGAAAACAACAUAAAUGCCCUUCAACCAAGGAAUGGAGAAAUCACGACAUGUUAAUCCAAGAAAAUGCUAAGUAGUUGCUAAGGAUUAAUGAGCAUGGAUAAAUCUCAGCAACAUAAUACUGAAGGGAUGGCCCUAUAUUUGUCACUGAGAGCAGAAGGGUUGAGAACUUAGAUCCUGACAGGAGGCCCACCUUUAUUGGAGAAAUGGCUCUGCAACUUAGCUCAUGUAAGACUGCUGGGAUUUGAAAUUUAUCCUAUUAUUUGAAGACUGAAAUCAAAAUAUGAAGGUGGAGCAUCAUGUGUGCCUUCUGUCUUGUUCUCUACUAGGGUGUAAACCAUUUAACUAAAAAUAGUCUCCAAUUUGACACCUUCCCAACAUUUCACUAGUAUACUCCAAAUCUCCAUGCAGGGUUACAGACCUAUUUCAGCUGGCUCCAUUUACUCUGAGGCAGAUAAAGCUGAGAUUGCAACAUCAGAAGCAGUUCAACCAAUCAUUAUGUACAAACCUCAGCCCAUUUGUAUAAUGCAAUCCUUCUGGUAGUAAUGACACAAAACAUGCCUAUAGGGACGAUCACAACCCUGUCAAAGUCCCAAGUCAUCUGUGGCACCAGGGCCACAGAACUUCUUACCACUUGGAAGCAAAAUAGUUGCUUUAAUGGUAACCAAAUGCCCUCCUUCAAGACAGUAUUUCAAGAAGGAGGAGUAUACGUAUAUUAUACAAACAUAUCCAAUCCCUUUAGAAGAUAAUUAUCAAUAUCAUGCAGGGAAGCUGGAACACACACACAAAAUCGAGUACUAUCUAGAAGAUCAAGCCACAAAUCUCAAGAGAAGCAGUAAGUGUCCAGGGCCUGGGAUUUUUUAUCUUGGCCGUGAGAAUAGCACAGCCCAUGGUGCAGAAACGACAGGCUAGUUGUCCAGCAUAACAUGGUGUUUUAUUUCACCAUAGUAGACUGCUGGGAAAUCUCUGGAGGCCUUGGCAGCUGUGUCUUGUCUUUAAUAUGAAGCCUGGGGGGGAAGACAGAGAGAGAGACUCAUAAUUCACAAGAGGCCCAGCCGUAAGAAAGCCAUUCUAAAUAACUGAAUCAGGCACCGAGGAGGAGCGACUAUUCCAUUCCUAAGUCAAGAAUGCUUUUUGUCUUUCCUUCUCUCCUAAUUGGCUCAUGAAAAGAUCAUUUAUGUGUGGUAGAAUCAGUACAUCAGAGGCAGCUUCUGUUUCUCUCCAUUUCUCCUCCCCACUGCUGCUGUCCUGUAAAAAGACCCUUUGUUACAGACUGAAACAGCAGAUGCAGCUCAGAUAUUAUCUUGAAUAAUUUUGUGGGGAGCAUUUUAUCUUGAAUUGGUGUAAUGCCAUUUUCACGUGGAAAGUGGUUCUAUGUCUGAUCCAAAUGUUCUAGAAACUUGAGAGACCCAUAUGGCAAAGAAGUACUUUACACACAUAUCUCUUUAAAGUAGUGCAGGGUAUGGGAAGAACUGAUAAUGCUGAUUAAAUGAUAUGUAGACGAAAUGAAUGUAAACUGGCAUCAUGGGCUGAGUGAGUCAGGGGAGGCCUUGUGGAAGAGAUAAGAGUAAUAGAAAAUGCUAGGUCAAGUAUGUGUAGAGGCCUGGAGAGAGGAAUGGACUUAGUGGGUCCAAAAGUAAGAAGACUUGUUUGUUGUGAAUACAGAGUUAGAAGUAGGUAGAAGAAAAAGUUGGUCGGGUCCUGCAGAGAUUAAAAAUCCGGUUUAAGAUUUUAGAUUGUUUCAAUCAUCAAUUAGUUGGUGUCUGUGUUCAUUGUGGAAAUGCUUUAAAUAUAGAUAACAAAAAGGAUAAUAACUUACAAUCCUACCAGUCGUAGGAUGAUGAUGGCAGACAAUGUGGUGCACAUUCUUUCAUAUAUUUUAUUGUCCUAGUUUAAGGUUCCCUAUAGGCAGAUCCUGAGAUGAAGAUUUAAAUGCACACCACUUAUUGAGGAGGUGAUUUCAGGAAACACCGGCAGGAGAGUGGGGCAGUAUGACAGGGAAAGAAAGGAAGCAAAAAAAUAAAGGGCAUGUUCUCAAAGGAAUCAGUUGGAGAGCAGUCAUGCUGGAGACACUGGAAGAGAGUAUAGAAGAUGUCUCAAUGUAGUCCUGCCUAGGGAUCAGGAAGUCGAAGUAUUUAUCCACUAAUUCUUGUCAAUUGAGAAUUUAUUUGAGGGGCAUUAACUCUCCAAAACGGUCUCCCUGUGCCGGAAAAAUAACCCUAAGCAGAAUGUUGUAGGUAUUUGCAGCAAAUAGCCCUCAGUGUGUCCUGAGGAUUGGUGUAGUACAUAAAUAUACAAAAUUAUUUUUAUUUAUAAAAAAGCUUUCUAUGCAUCAGGCUCUGUACUGUGUGUUUUACUUGCAUUCACUCAAAAUAGUUCUCACAGAAGCCCUAUGAGGUCGGCGCUACUCUUAUCCCCUGAGGAUUAGAGGCUGGGAGAAGUAUAUAUGAGAGUCAUAUGGAGAUUAAAUACCUGAAGUCAUGAGGAGAUGAUGCACUCUCCAAGAGAGCUUUGAUGACAGCCUAUUUAUGCAGCUUCUGUCAUCUGUACACAUUCUCCUCUUUCUGUCAACAAAGAGUUUUUCUUUUGCAAUUGUAAAUGUCCUCUGUUUUCAGAGACUUUUGUUGGAAAACAAAACAAAAUCUUGAGACAUGAAGGAUCUGUAAUGGACACCUGUCGAUUGUGUCUGUUCAGCAGCUCCUCUCCCACCUGUCUUCCAGUACAACACCUUAUUUCAUUGGAGAGAAAGGUUCUACCUCUUCUCCUUAAGGUUUUAGUGGACAGCCAAACCAGUCUUCAGUCUACAGGGUGAGUAUGAGAUCCAGGCUUGACCAACCAUAGUCACCACCCACUUGGCUACAUCAAAUUGAGCCAGAAAGAGCCUUUCCCUGGGAAUUUAUAUGUAGACUUUGGGAAAAGGAAGCUUUCUUCUCUGAUGUUACUAGACAGCGAUGACAAAACCAGUGCUUGUCUGGACCAUGCUCCACUUCCUCUCCACAGCAAGAUGAGCAAGCUCAUCUGUAGUAGGAAAGAAUGUAGGAAUGCAUCCCCUGCAC
ensembl:lncRNA SEPTIN7-DT SEPTIN7 divergent transcript